rnacentral:rRNA from 1 species
UCCUGGCUCAGGAUGAACGCUAGCUACAGGCUUAACACAUGCAAGUCAGGGGCAGCAUACUGAUAGCUUGCUAUCAGUGAUGGCGACCGGCGCACGGGUGAGUAACGCGUAUCCAACCUUCCCCGUAGUAGGGGCACAGCCCGGCGAAAAGUCGGAUUAAUUCCCUAUGUUCUCCAAUGCAGGCAUCUAAGUUGGAGCAAAGGUUUACCGCUAUGGGAUGGGGAUGCGUCUGAUUAGGUUGUCGGCGGGGUAACGGCCCACCGAGCCCGCGAUCAGUAGGGGUUCUGAGAGGAAGGUCCCCCACAUUGGAACUGAGACACGGUCCAAACUCCUACGGGAGGCAGCAGUGAGGAAUAUUGGUCAAUGGAGGCAACUCUGAACCAGCCAAGUAGCGUGCAGGAUGACGGCCCUAUGGGUUGUAAACUGCUUUAUAAGGGAAUAAAGGGUGCCACGUGUGGUGUUUGCAUGUACCUUAUGAAUAAGGACCGGCUAAUUCCGUGCC